GCGACUCCAGCUCUGAUGAGGAUUUGCAGCAACCAGCUGUGGAUGGGGCGCUGGCUGGCUCAAGUUCAGAGGAGGACUUGUAGAUAAAAGUAAGUUUGUUGCUAAUGUAACCUUGCAAUCGGCAAGGUGUUUUGUUGGGCCCUUUUCAGGAUCUCUGUUUCAGAAGACGUGUUUGGAAGACUGCUUUGGGACGUGACAUUGGGGAAUAUUCCAGAGUUUGAUUGUAACACCAGAGCAUCCUGCAGCUUUGGGCCAGUAUGGACAGCUGGAUGGAUCUGAUUCAGAUACCUCUGUUGAUAACAGAAUAGGAUGCCCACAAAGGCCAAGAGUUUACAUGGGUCGCUGUGUUUGAGUGGAAGUGGUGACAAUAACAUGGAAGGUGAAGUGAUAGUCCAGCUUGGUCAAUGUGGUCUCAAGUCCAGUUGAACCACAUGGAUGCCAAACUCCAACCACAGCAGAUGUGAAAUGAUGUUCCAUGUUUCCUCUAAUGAUCUGGGUAUUUUAAGCUGAAAAGUAGCCUCAGAAACUGCAGCAGACUACAGAAGGCAUAAGUUGAAGGGACCACAUCUGUUCUCCUCUCAAAGCAGAUGGAUGUUCACAUAUUCUAUCAGGGCUGUUAUAUCAAGAGGAGAUUUCAACAACAGACAUCAUCAUCUAAUUCAAUACUGCAUUUUUUAAAAAAAAAUGUUUCCUGCACUGUUUUAUUGAUAGAAUGCUGGCUUCCUGAAUAAACUCUGAUUCAUUUCUGUGCAUAGUGAAUUACUCAGUCACUUUUUAAAAAAAUAAGUGAAAGAGAACUCAUCCAAUUCUGUUCAAUAUAUGUAUUUUCUUUACACUUCAAUUUAUAAUGUGUAAGCUGCUAAAAAUCCCUCUUCAGACAUUCUUGUCAAUAUGACUUGAUCAUCAUUAAUAUUAAAUUUGUUAAUAUCCACAAUAUAACUUACGGAGGGAGUCUUGAGUGUUUUCUAAUGCAACAUUUUGUCUAUAAUGAGGCAAUGACUUUAUUGCAGGAGGCAGGCAAACCACCAUUGAAGCUGAACUGUCACCUUUAGUGACAAUCCCUAUCACACAACACCGUGCAUAUCCCACUACUGAUCUGCUUCCAUCCCAGAAUGUUCCCAUCACCUGACUUGGUGUAAUGGAUCCACCAAGCUUCUGUGUUGAAAUGCUAGCAGUAAAAUGACUUCAGGAGCCAGGAUUCUCAUUUUUCCCCCCAUUCAAUUGUUAUUCCCAAGAUGUCUAUCUUCUGUGUAUUGUAUAUUUUAUAGUCAUUUUCACCUUUGUUGUUUUUCAAAACUGCAAUUGCAAAAUUGCUCUUAAAAUAUAAAAAAUAUGGAAUAGCAAACUUGUGGGAAGGCAGAGUCCAGAGUGCAUGCAGAAGUAUGAUUAGCGCAAUUGUGGAAAUGAGAAGAGAUCCGAUAUUGAAGGAACUCGACCUGGUAUAUAUCCACAAUCAAUGAUAGCACAACUGCAGUGGAAUAGCGGGUUCAUGUGAUAAAGUCUAAAGUCCAUGGACAAAGAAACUCUUGUCCUCCUGAUGUUGAUUACUACUCCCACAACAUCUAAAGAGCUACAAGUUCUCCAACUGUGGAAAUGAAAAGAGAUUUGAUAUUGAAGAUGCUCGAACUGGUAUGUAUCUACUAUCAAUGAUAGCAAGACUACAGUGGAAUAGCAGGUUCAUACAAUAAAGUCUAAACUCAGUGGACAAAGAAACUCUUGUCUUCCUGAUGUUAAUAUUUCCACAUCAUCUGAAGGGCUACAAGUUCUUCAGUUGUGGAAAUGAGAAGAGAUCUGAUAUUGAAGGUGCUCAACUUGGUAUAUAUCCACUAUGAAUGAUAGCACGACUACAGUGGAAUAGCAGGUUCGUGUGAUAAAGUCUAAAGUCCAUGGCAAAGAAACUCUUGUCCUCCUGAUGUUGAUUACUAUUCCUACAACAUCUGAAGAGCUACAAGUUCUCCAAUUGUGGAAAUGAAAAGAGACCUGAUAGCACAACUGCAAUGAUAGCACGACUGCAGUGGAAGAGCGGGUUCAUGUGAUAAAGUCUAAAGUCCAUGGACAGGGAAACUCUUGUCCUCCUGAUGUUGAUUACUCUUCCCACAACAUCUGAAGGGCUACAUGUUCUCCAUCAAGAUUGUGAAAGGUUAAUUUAGAUUGGAUCCACACCAGCAAAAUAAUUAAUCCUUAACUCAAUAUUGGUACUGCUGGAACACAUGGCAUUCCUCCAUUUUAUAAGCAAAUAUGUUCCUUUUAGACUUUAAUGCAAUUUAAGGAAAAUUCUUGUUUAGUCCACUCUCCAGUGGGAAAAUCAGCUUUUUUCUAUGUGUGCCCUAGGCUCCAAAUAUGGAUUGAGAUGCAAUCAGGGUGAUGGGUUGUGGUAGAGUAAAAUAGGCCAUAGUGGGAAGUGGUCUUGGCACCAUUGUCUGGCCAAUGUAAUGGUUUUCACCAUUUUUGUUGUUGAAAUGCAACUGCUUCGCCAGCUAGGGAGAAUUGGGUGAAAUGUGGAGAACGAUCAGAAGGGGUGCAAUGUCUGAUCUCAUUUUUCAGUCCUCUUUCAACUCUCAUCCGCUGUAAUAAUCUGGGCUCCAGUCAGGGUUCAUAUCCAGUUUUUUUUAGUCCAACAUAUUCAUAUGCAGAUAUUUGAAUGGGAGGAUGAAGCUUAUGAAUGGGAGGGUCCCUCAUUUUUUCACUUCAUGUACCUUUCCAUGAACCUUUGUAGCUAUGAUAGUCAACAAGAAACUCUC